rnacentral:rRNA from 1 species
UACGUAGGGUGCAGGCGUUAAUCGGAAUUACUGGGCGUAAAGCGUGCGCAGGCGGUGUUGUAAGACAGAUGUGAAAGCCCCGGGCUUAGCCUGGGAAUGGCAUUUGGGACUGCAAGGCUGGAGUUUGGCAGAGGAGACUGGAAUUCCUGGUGUAGCAGUGAAAUGCGUAGAUAUCAGGAGGAAUACCGAUGGCGAAGGCAGGUCUCUGGGCUAUAACUGACGCUCAUGCACGAAAGCGUGGGGAGCAAACAGG